AAGAGGAGAAGAUGGACGCUAACGUUCGCGACUGGGACGAACUGACGCCGCUGAUCCCCGCUGCUAGCGCGGGGCACAUGGAUGUCGUUAAGCUUCUAUUGAAGGAGGGCGCUGACGUCAACGCCAAGGAUAAGGAUGGCAUCAACGCACUCAUGGAGGCGAGUAUCAUGGGGCAU
rnacentral:snRNA from 1 species